UACGUAGGGGGCAAGCGUUGUCCGGAUUUAUUGGGCGUAAAGAGCUCGUAGGCGGCUCGGUAAGUCCGCUGUGAAAGUCGGGGGCUCAACCCUCGGAUGCCGGUGGAUACUGUCGGGCUUGAGUACGGAAGAGGCGAGUGGAAUUCCUGGUGUAGCGGUGAAAUGCGCAGAUAUCAGGAGGAACACCAAUUGCGAAGGCAGCUCGCUGGGACGUUACUGACGCUGAGACGCGAAAGCGUGGGGAGCAAACAGG
rnacentral:rRNA from 1 species